CAGAGUUUGAAACCAAAGCACAGGAGAUGUUUACAUAAAGAAUUGUUACUACACAGAGAGACUUUACAUGCCCUUUAAAGUUUGGCUCCUUACUUGCUUGCGCAGAAAGAGAAAAAAGAAGAAGCUGGAAGAGGAUUGUUCCGUGGUGCUCGAUGGAAGAACCCCGAGCCGGUGCAGUUUUCUCCUAAUAGGAGCACUGGCCCAGGGUGGUACCCCCAUGUGUAAAUUGCCUUUCUUUCUCCUUUAAGUGGCCUUUGUCCAGUAAACAACCCAAACUUGACCAACUUAUGCCAGUAAAGAAAUACAUUUUCACAAGUCAGUUGAACUGGGUUGACAAUCAAACACAAAAGCUGCUUGAGGUAUGACUAGCUCAUAGGAGACUGGGAGAACCUGGGAGUCAAAUUUACAGUCUCAGAAAGAUUAUCCUUUAAAUUAAAUUUCUAAAAAAUGAAUGACACAAGAGGCAUUAUCAAGGAUAACACACACUGUACUUUAACCGCAUUAACUAAUCUUUUAUUUCUGUUCAAUGGAUUCACUGGGAAAUUACUGGCAGGAGCUCAUAUUUUAUCAUCUUUAAAGUUGUGGGUUAGCUCUUUAAUCACGGAACUGCAAAAAAAAAAAAAAAAUAAAAAUGUACAACUACUCAUUAUAGGGGAUUCAGCUGGGUCGUGACAACUUAAAAAGUGGGGAUUUCACUUUGUUAUCGAGGAGAAUACUUCUGCUUCCUCUUUUGACAGCUGAAUGAGAAAAUAAUUACAGUAAUUUGAUUCUUCAGUUAUUCGGAAAUCGAUCUCACAAGAUGUGUCGUUACUGAAAGUAAAGAACACCAGCGACAAUUUCGCUUGUACCUACAAGUUUUUAUCUGGCAAAGAAAUCAAGGGAAUUAGGUAACUAACAUUUAAUCUGCUGUUAUUGGGAAACAUCCUAUAGGUGGAUUUUUUUUUACUUUUUUACUCC